rnacentral:rRNA from 1 species
AACGAACGCUGGCGGCAGGCCUAACACAUGCAAGUCGAACGCAUCCUUCGGGGUGAGUGGCGCACGGGUGAGUAACACGUGGGAAUGUGCCCUUUGGUUCGGAAUAACGUCUGGAAACGGACGCUAAUACCGGAUGUCCCCUGUGGGGGAAAGAUUUAUCGCCAAAGGAGCAGCCCGCGUCGGAUUAGGUAGUUGGUGGGGUAACGGCCUACCAAGCCGACGAUCAGUAGCUGGUCUGAGAGGAUGAUCAGCCACACUGGGACUGAGACACGGCCCAGACUCCUACGGGAGGCUGCAGUGGGGAAUCUUCCACAAUGGGCGAAAGCCUGAUGGGGCAACGCCGCGUGAAGGAUGAAGGCCCUCGGGCUGUAAACUUCUUUUAUAAGUGAAGAAUAUGACGGUAACUUAUGAAUAUGCACCGGUUAACUACGUGCCAGCAGCCGCCGUAA